rnacentral:rRNA from 1 species
GAGUGAACGCUGGCGGUAGGCCUAACCCAUGCAAGUCGAACGGCAGCACAGUAAGAGCUUGCUCUUACGGGUGGCGAGUGGCGGACGGGUGAGGAAUACAUCGGAAUCUACUUUCUCGUGGGGGAUAACGUAGGGAAACUUACGCUAAUACCGCAUACGACCUACGGGUGAAAGCAGGGGAUCUUCGGACCUUGCGCGAUUGAAUGAGCCGAUGUCGGAUUAGCUAGUUGGCGGGGUAAAGGCCCACCAAGGCGACGAUCCGUAGCUGGUCUGAGAGGAUGAUCAGCCACACUGGAACUGAGACACGGUCCAGACUCCUACGGGAGGCAGCAGUGGGGAAUAUUGGACAAUGGGCGCAAGCCUGAUCCAGCCAUACCGCGUGGGUGAAGAAGGCCUUCGGGUUGUAAAGCCCUUUUGUUGGGAAAGAAAAGCAGCAGGUUAAUACCCCGCUGUUCUGACGGUACCCAAAGAAUAAGCACCGGCUAACUUCGUG